GUGCACUAUAUAGGGCUCUGGUCUAAAGUAGUACACUAUAUAGGGCUCUGGUCUAAAGUAGUGCACUAUAUAGGGCUCUGGUCUAAAGUAGUGCACUAUAUAGGGCUCUGGUCUAAAGUAGUGCACUAUAUAGGGCUCUGGUCUAAAGUAGUGCACUAUAUAGGGCUCUGGUCUAAAGUAGUGCACUAUAUAGGGCUCUGGUCUAAAGUAGUGCACUAUAUAGGGCUCUGGUCUAAAGUAGUGCACUAUAUAGGGCUCUGGUCUAAAGUAGUGCACUAUAUAGGGCUCUGGUCUAAAGUAGUGCACUAUAUAGGGCUCUGGUCUAAAGUAGUGCACUAUA